rnacentral:lncRNA from 1 species
GUCAUCAGCUCAGCUUUCCAAACUGCAGCACAAGUAGUAAAUUCAACCCUGAGUCUGCACUUCCCCAAAACUGCCUCAAUUAGAGUUUGUUAUGAAUUGCUGAAGUGCUAUAGAAGAUGGAAAAAUAGGUAUCCAGGAGGAGAUCCUGUAGGAGAGGUGAAUUAAAGAGAGAUCUGCUGGAGUCCCAGGAACGGUACACAGUGCUCUACAGAUAUUCUGAAGGCAAAUUUUGCAGGGACAGGUAAGAUCUUUUACCACACCCGCUGAUGUAACUGUAGAACAAUUGCUAUUAUUGGCUAAGUGCUCUGAGUUUAAUGUGAUGGCAUAGACAAUUUGAGGGAAAAUGUGUAUGGGAGACGUGUCUGUUUAUCUGUAGA